UACGGAGGAUUCAAGCGUUAUCCGGAUUUAUUGGGUUUAAAGGGUGCGUAGGCGGACUGUCAAGUCAGCGGUAAAAUUGAGAGGCUCAACCUCUUCCCGCCGUUGAAACUGGUGGUCUUGAGUGGAUGAGAAGUACGCGGAAUGCGUGGUGUAGCGGUGAAACGCAUAGAUAUCACGCAGAACUCCGAUUGCGAAGGCAGCGUACCGGCAUCCAACUGACGCUGAGGCACGAAAGCGUGGGGAUCAAACAGG
rnacentral:rRNA from 1 species